AGCGAACGCUGGCGGCAGGCCUAACACAUGCAAGUCGAACGAACUCUUCGGAGUUAGUGGCGGACGGGUGAGUAACACGUGGGAACGUGCCUUUAGGUUCGGAAUAACUCAGGGAAACUUGUGCUAAUACCGAAUGUGCCCUUCGGGGGAAAGAUUUAUCGCCUUUAGAGCGGCCCGCGUCUGAUUAGCUAGUUGGUGAGGUAAAGGCUCACCAAGGCGACGAUCAGUAGCUGGUCUGAGAGGAUGAUCAGCCACAUUGGGACUGAGACACGGCCCAAACUCCUACGGGAGGCAGCAGUGGGGAAUCUUGCGCAAUGGGCGAAAGCCUGACGCAGCCAUGCCGCGUGAAUGAUGAAGGUCUUAGGAUUGUAAAAUUCUUUCACCGGGGACGGUAAUGACGGUACCCGGAGAAGAAGCCCCGGCUAACUUCGUG
rnacentral:rRNA from 1 species